UCUAAUAUGGCAGAAUAGUGCAAUAGAUUUAAGCUCUAUACAUAAAGAUUAUCUUUUAUUAGAA
rnacentral:tRNA from 1 species